rnacentral:miRNA from 1 species
AGGUUUUGUGUGUUUUU